AGGAUCUGUCUCUGUACAAUAAAUAUAAAUUAAUGUUUAAGUAAAAAAGCUUAAAUGAAAUGAAGGGACGAUAAGACCCUAUAAAGCUUUAUGAUUACAAUCUUUUAGUGUUGAUUAUUUUAAUAUUAAAGUAUUAGAAAAUUAUAUCAUUUUACUGGGGCGGUAAAAGUAUAAAGGAAUAACUGCUUUUGUUGAGAUUAAACAACGGUAGUUGGAAAAUAAAUUGAUCCAUUAAUAAUGAUCACAAGAACAAGUUACUUUAGGGAUAACAGCGUAAUUUUUCUUGAGAGUUCAUAUCGAAAGAAAAGUUUGCGACCUCGAUGUUGAAUUAAGGGUACCUUAAGGUGCAGCAGUUUUGAAGGUAGAUCUGUUCGAUCUUUAAUUCUUUACAUGAUUUG
rnacentral:rRNA from 1 species